CUCCGCUGACGCCGAGCUGACGGGACCGACAACGGCGUUCAUGAAGAACAAGCCCAUUUUCAGCGCUGUAUAGUCGGUCUCCCACAUCCCACGCUUUGUCGUAGCUGUCGACACAUCUGCAGCGCGAUGGACUCACACCCACUUUGAUUUCCAAGAUGUAUCUUUCCUUCCAUCUUUGGACUCUUGCUCCUUAGGCACUGCUCUCAUUCAGAACAGAGAAGUCAAUGGAUUCUUACAUCCCGGCUUGACAAGUUAGGAGGAUACAAGCUAAUCCCCUUAAUCUGUCUAUUCUCCCGUGCAGUGCCAAAGGGGGAGUGGGACCUGGCGCAAGUAAUCCUAUAGAAAAAACAAUAGGAUUAGUCCCUGACUCUUGGAGUGACAAUCAGGUAUCUACUGACUGAUUUGCAAAGUAGGCUUGAGUUUCUUCAAAUUUGCUUUUUUUCCCCCCUCCUCUGGGUAAAGGGUGCCUUUCACUAAGUGCUGGUGGGAUUCUAUGAGGAGAAAUGCUGGAGGUCUGUAUGAAAGGCAUGUAUUCUUCAGGUCCAGUGCCAGCAGAUGACUGACAGGCCCUUGCCUUCUCCCACAGCAGAGAAGGUGGAGAGGUUGGGGAGCAUGGUGGGCUCAGGCUGGCCCCACCUCUUUACCCUCUGAUUCAACCCUAUUAUAAUUCGAAUCGCAUUGCCUUUAAAGUGAGGACUUUGACAGACAGAUCAAACUGCUUAGCUUUUUUUUUGCAUAGCAAAUGAAGUUGGUUGAAUGGGCCAGAAAAUUAAGAGAGAUUAAAAAUGCACAAAUGUGUUGUGCCCUUUUUUCUC